rnacentral:rRNA from 1 species
UGGGGAAUUUUGGACAAUGGGCGAAAGCCUGAUCCAGCAAUGCCGCGUGUGUGAAGAAGGCCUUCGGGUUGUAAAGCACUUUUGUCCGGAAAGAAAUCCUUGGCUCUAAUACAGUCGGGGGAUGACGGUACCGGAAGAAUAAGCACCGGCUAACUACGUGCCAGCAGCCGCGGUAAUACGUAGGGUGCAAGCGUUAAUCGGAAUUACUGGGCGUAAAGCGUGCGCAGGCGGUUUGCUAAGACCGAUGUGAAAUCCCCGGGCUCAACCUGGGAACUGCAUUGGUGACUGGCAGGCUAGAGUAUGGCAGAGGGGGGUAGAAUUCCACGUGUAGCAGUGAAAUGCGUAGAGAUGUGGAGGAAUACCGAUGGCGAAGGCAGCCCCCUGGGCCAAUACUGACGCUCAUGCACGAAAGCGUGGGGAGCAAAACAGGAUUAGAUACCCUGGUAGUCCACGCCCUAAACGAUGUCAACUAGUUGUUGGGGGAUUCAUUUCCUUAGUAACGUAGCUAACGCGUGAAGUUGACCGCCUGGGGAGUACGGUCGCAAGAUUAAAACUCAAAUGAAUUGACGGGGUCAUAGCUG